GCCUGGUCUCCCUACUGCAAGGUCUAAAGUCCUCCCUUCUGCCUUGCCUGAGGAGCAGUCUCAGUCCCUAGAGUGAAGUUCAGAGAAUUCACCAUGCACAUUCAGGACCUGACAGCUGACAGGACUCUUGAUCAUUGUGAAACCUGGCAUUUGUGUAGUUCUUGGUGGCGAGAAUACUGAAGUGGGUUGCCAUUUCCUCCUCCAGUGGACCACGUUUUGUCAGAACUCUUCAAUAUGACCCAUUUGUCUUGGUGGCCCUGCAUGGCGUGGCUCAUAUUUUCAUUGAGUUAUGCAAGCCCCUUUACCACAACAAGGCUGUGGUCCAUGAAGGGGAUGCAAAAGAAUACUGAAGAAAAAAAAAAAGAAUACUGAAGAAUAAAGGUAUUUAUGAAAAGAAAAUUAUCCAGUCCAUCCUAAAGGAAAUCAGUCCUGAAUAUUCACUGGAAGGACUGAUGCUGAAGCUGAAACUCCAAUACUUUGGCCACCUGAUGUGAAGAACUGACUCAUUUGAAAAGACCCUGAUGCUGGGAAAGAUUGAAGGCAGGAGGAGAAGGGGACGACAGAGGAUGAGAUGGUUGGAUGGCAUCACCGACUCAAUGGACAUGAGUUUGAGUUCUCUGGGAGUUGGCGAUGGACAGGGAGGCCUGGUAUGCUGCAGUCCAUGGGGUCACAAAGAGUCGGACAUGACUGAGCGACUGGACUGAACUGGCCAACAAAAUUGUGGAUCAUAUAUGAUAGUUUUAACUGAAAGCAUCCAUGGGCAAAUUUGCUUUGUUAAAAGACAGCAUGUCAAGCUAAAUUUUAUGAAGCUAAUUAUUUGUUUCUUGAUAGGGAACGUAUGUAGCACAUCUUUUAAAUUGUAAAAGCAAAAUUAUAAGCACUGGUAGAUGUUAUUACAUAAGAAAGAAAACAAGGAAAAGCAUUACAUGUUACAAAUAAUUGUUUUUAACACACAAAAAAGAUAUCUCAUGAACCUUUUCUAGCCAGGUACUUACUAUCAUAUUGAGCUAGAUAAGGUGAAUAUAGAAAUACAAAUAAAUUGAAUAAUAAACUGAAAUCUUCUUGGCCUAAACCUAAAAAAAUGAAAUAGAAGACAUACUUAAAUGUUAGAAUAAUACAAUUGUAUUUCAAAAUGAGGGAAAACAUUAAUAGUCCAGAGGCCAGUCUGUAGAAGAAAACAAGAGAGUGGAGGUGCCAGCACUAAACUACGACUGCUUUCUCAGUAAGAACCCAACUUACAAGCCACAGCCGGAUGGACAACACUUAAACCUGGGGCACAGGGAUAAGGGUUCUAUUGCAGAGGUUGAACCCACAACUGGAAACUACCAAACAGAUGAGAAACAACUGUACUUCAGCAGGGAACAGCAAACCUAACAAAUAGAAAUACUAUCAUCUUAAGAAGUAGAGUUAGUAAACCAAAAAGAAAAGAAAUUCAAAUAAACAAGAUCUUUUAAAAGAUGUAGGGAGAAAUCUUGAGAUAAGAACAGGGCUUUUAAACAGGGACAGAUGGAGAGAUACCUGGGAGGAAGUGUGUGUGUGUGUGUGUAUGUUGAUGUGUGUUUGUGUAUACACAAAAUAAUUUAUUUGGUAUAGUAAAUAAUGUACUAGGUAAAACUGAAGCAUAAGCCAACAAAUUGAGAUAAAAGCAAAAUUUUAUAAAUUAGAAGAAAUUCACAAAUACCAAAAGUAGUUGAUUAACAAAAUCAAAAGCUACUUCUUUGAAAAGUGCUGUAAAAUAAACAGUACUCUAGGGAAAAAUCAAAGAAAGAAAAUACAGAUACACAGAAUCUGAAAUGAAAAUAGAGACUUAAACAAAAAUGCUUAAAUUAUUUUUAAUUAUGAAAAUUUUAUGGGCAACUUAGUAACAAGGAAUUUGAAACCUAAAUAAGUAGGGUGUUUUAGGAAAAUAUAAAUUAUCAAAAUAAGCUUAAUAAAAUAGGUGAACAAACAAAAAAAGUAUGAGAAAUAGAAGCCAAAGAUUUUUCUAAGAAAAGGCACCAGACCCAGAUAACUUUAUGGGUGGGUUCCAGCAAACCUUCAAGGAACAGAUAAUUCCCAUCUUAUGUAAACUGUUCCAAAAAAUAUUGAAAGGUAGGAAACCAUCCAACAUAUUUCGUAAGGCUAGCUUAAUAGUGAUAUCAAAACCAGGCUAUGUUCGUAAGUGUGAUUUGGUGUAUACUUUUUGUUGUUUUUGUGUUCAUUCAUAGGUAGUUUAGAGUUUUGUUUUUUGCUAAUGUGAACGGAAACUUUCAUCCUAUUACUUGUCCUAAUUGGUUAUCACUGCUUCAAAUAAAAUUCCAUUUAAAAUAAUUCUGAAAUCAACACAACGUAGUGGAGUUCGGUGAGAAGGGGC
ensembl:lncRNA